rnacentral:rRNA from 1 species
UGAGAGGGGUUUAUUCGGAAUUACUGGGCGUAAGCGCACGCAGGCGGUUUGUUAAGUCAGAUGUGAAAUCCCCGGGCUCAACCUGGGAACUGCAUCUGAUACUGGCAAGCUUGAGUCUCGUAGAGGGGGGUAGAAUUCCAGGUGUAGCGGUGAAAUGCGUAGAGAUCUGGAGGAAUACCGGUGGCGAAGGCGGCCCCCUGGACGAAGACUGACGCUCAGGUGCGAAAGCGUGGGGAGCAAACAGGAUUAGAUACCCUGGUAGUCCACGCCGUAAACGAUGUCGACUUGGAGGUUGUGCCCUUGAGGCGUGGCUUCCGGAGCUAACGCGUUAAGUCGACCGCCUGGGGAGUACGGCCGCAAGGUUAAAACUCAAAUGAAUUGACGGGGGCCCGCACAAGCGGUGGAGCAUGUGGUUUAAUUCGAUGCAACGCGAAGAACCUUACCUGGUCUUGACAUCCACGGAAGUU